AGACAGCAGGAGGGGCUUGCCAGUGCACCUCACAAGAGCUCGCUGCUCUGCGUCAGUGCUGCCAAGGAGCUCCUUCAGGGUUGAGAGAUGAGAGAGCCAAGUCCGUGAUUACUAGAUCUGAGCCCUGGAGGGAAUCGACUGCCAGUUUAAGGAGUCAUUGUCCAGUUCAGACUCCAGAAUACGAAACGUAGAAACUGACAGGAAAUGACCAAGUAUAAAUUGCAACUUGUAAAGAAUCAUCUUAAAUCCUGGCACUGCGUUCAAGGGGGAGUUUGAGCAAGGAAUGUUGCUAAAACGGCUAAAACCAGGAACUCAGAAUAUCGUUCUACAAUAGAACCUAAAAACUGUUUCCAACCCAUCACGACAUCACCCUGAAAAAUGAGUGAGCAGUCACUGAGGCUUCCCAAGUUUGAAAAUUCCACAAGACUGAGAGCAAAUGUUUUGUUGAAACUGAAGUCAAGAUGAAGUCAGCUGACUCUCAAACCUCAGGUGAAGUGACUCAGGGCCCACACCCCGGUUCUGAGGCAGGGACACAUUUUACUUGCAGCACCCUGCAGCUUUGGAUGAGGCUGCAACCCGGGUGAAUCCUGGCCCUGCUAUCACGUGGGCAGCCACUGCAUCCUCCGGAGGCUGUGGAUGGGAGUCACCAUGCUGGGAGGUCUGGAGUAAGAUCUGUGCCAUCUGCCUUGCCCAAUCCUGUACCAGUGCCUGUGUUUCAAAAUCUCAAAAUAAAAGUGAUUAUUCUUGCAACACAUCUAGGUGUACUAAACGAAUACAAAAAA
rnacentral:lncRNA from 1 species